CAAGUCAAUCAGCCAUCACGAAGUGCUGCUGUCAGCAAGGUCUCCAUGGCGUGUGGGAGGACACAAAGGAGAGGCAUCUAAAUUAAGCUGGAGUCAAGGCUUGACUAUGGAUACAUUAGCAUAGCAGAGUUGAACAAAAUCGAAAUCCCUCACUUCCAAUUAGGAGAUAAGAGCAGGCUUGGAUCCUGGCUUAUUUUGCUUAAGGCUUAAUCAUUUGGCUCCCAGGAUGACCAUAAUGAGGCUCCUGGGACCAACCAUAGGUUAAAGAAAAACCAUCUGGUGCUGAGAAUCCAAAGGCAGCGGGAAAUCCUCAACAGGAACUGGAGAGGUUGGAGAAAUAAUAGAGCAGAAGCCACCUGGAAGCAGGGGCCCAAACAACAGGGCAGGUUGUUAGCUGCAUUGCACAUAGAAGGGUAGAAGAGGAAGAAUGAUUUUACUUCUUGACAAAGAAGAAGAAGGAAAGACGUCUGCAGGGUAAGCAUGUCUGGGAGUCCCUGCCACCUGCUGCCAUUCAUUUAAUCAUCCCUGGGAGCCGGACUGCAGGCCCUGUGCCAGGCUGUCAGCAGCAGAAACUGGCAAGGAGAGAGCUCACUCAGCAGCUAUUAGAUACCAGGGCCUGCCCACCAGUUACAGUGUGAACUGGGGACUGGAGGAACAGGAAGCAAUGGCUGAUCUCAGCAGUCAGCAGGAGGAAAAGUAAGGCAGAACUGAAAUGUAUGAUGUGUUUACUUUGUUAUCAGCACUGUGUCAUGCUAAGUACCUUUGAAAUGUCUCUUCUUCUCAUUCCUCGAAAUAGUCCUACUAAGUAGG
rnacentral:lncRNA from 10 species